UAAAAAAAUAUAAUAUAUCGAAUCAUUCAUGUAAAAGAAAUAUUAUCGAAUCAUGUAAAAAAUACCUUAACAUUUGUCCAUAUACUUUCUUUCAAUUCUCCUAAUACUUGGGUCUAAUCAUCUAUCAAACACUUUUUUACAUCCAAGGAACACAAUAUAAUUACUAAAAAUGUAUGAAUGAUCAUCAUAACAAGUUGAAGUUAUAUCAUUAAACUAUAUCGGCAAUCUAUUACCCGAGUUGCAAACUUUUAUUAAUCUAACCAACAUUGUAGCACCUCUUUUUUU
rnacentral:lncRNA from 1 species